AAGAAGGACCCCGGCGCAACCUUCCUGUUCAAGUGAGCACAGCACAGCAAGCUAUCUGACAGCCUCAAAAAUGAUACUCCCGUGUAAGGGUCUGCAGCGAAUCCCAGCCACCAGUCAGAGAGAAGCAAAUGUAACCAGAACACAUGUGACUGAGUUGAUGGACACUUUUACAGAUACAGACUGCAGGGUCAAAGGGGUUCGUAACAGACACCCUAUGUUCAUCAAUGGACAGAAAGUUCCACAGAAUGGAAUAUAAUCACAUGCUAUCAGAAACCGCUGCACUUGACCCCAGGUUUAAGAAGUUAGCCUUCAGUGAUGCCAGAGCGAUUGAUGAGGCUCUUCAAAGAAUAACCUCAGCAGCAGGGAGGGACAGCCCCAGCAGUCAGCUGGCUCAGGCACCAAGGCAACAGGAAGAAGAGAGAUCAGAUGGAGGAGAGGCACCAGCAGUAGUGCCACAAACGUCUGCUGUUUGGAUGCUGUUUGACGAGAGAGCAACUGGGGAUGCAGCACGAAGGAAUCCCUUAGCAGAUGCGAUAAUGGAGGUCCGAUCCUAUUUGGAAGAGCCCCUCCUCCAAAGAUCUGCAGAUCCUCUGAGCUGGUGGAAGAACAAGGCCUCUGUCUCCCCACGGCUUACUAAAGUCAUGACAGGGAGACUCUGCAUAGUGGGCACAUCCGUUCCCUCUGAGAGGGUCUUCUCGAAAACGGGACAAAUAAUUACUGAGAGAGGAAACCGCAUCAGCCCCUCAAAUGAGGCAGCUUGCAUUUCUGAAUGCAAAUCUCUCAUAAAAGUAAAAUAUGGUCAGCAUUGCUGUGUGCGGCUGGUUAUAACAUGGCAAUAAAGAAGAGAGAGAAAAGAGGGACCAGUUUAAUGUUUUAAGUGGGAUGCUGCAGGUUUGCACAUUGUUUUUUAUUUUUCUUUGAUAUGGUG
rnacentral:lncRNA from 1 species